rnacentral:rRNA from 1 species
AGACUAAACCUGAACGGCGCANUGAAAGUGAAGGCCGACCGUUCUAACUUUCCUUGCCAUUCCAUUCGUGGGUGGCCUGAGGGGAAGGCGGUGAGCCAAGGCGGGAUCCGAUGAAACACAGCCGGGGUGUACCGAAAAUCGACUCGGCGCCUUUCUUUCCAUUCCAUUCGUGGUUGGACUGAGGGCGUCGGGUGAGCUAACAAAAAUAACGCUCGCACCCCGGUCGGNGCACCGCCGGCCCGUCUCCAUGCCGCAACGUCGGUGAGGCGGANCCAGAGCGUACACGUUGGGACCCGAAAGAUGGUGAACUAUGCUUGGGCAGGACGAAGCCNGAGGAAACUCUGGUGGAGGUCCGUAGCGAUUCUGACGUGCAAAUCGAUCGUCGGACCUGA